AGUCAAGGGUUGUAACGGGGCUUGGGGUAAUGGUUAACAAAGGAAAGAUAGGGAUAACAAACGUUCCUAAGGCAAUAGCAAGCAAAGUAAUGAAAUCGAAACUUAGAAUUCACUUUAGAAUGCAGAAAUCAACUUUUAGACAUAAGGGAAAGAUUUAAACAACUCUUAGGGUCAAAUUCAACUUUUUUUUUUUUGGAUGAAUUUUUCUUUUCUUUUCUUUCCACCCGUGCCUAUGGCACACUACUUACAUGAGAAACACUUCCCCCACACUUAUUUUCUGCCAUAAAUAAUCAAAAGGAAUUCAAUUUGAAUCAUGCUUUACUAUGCUUUAAGAACAAGGGUAUGGAUGGUCCUAAUCUAGGCUAGGUGAGGAUAACGUGGUUUAACAAAGAACGUAGGCUAACAAGGCUCAAUGGGGUUAACUUAAACAUAUAAUGAAGCAGGAUACAUGUCAAUUUGGUUUUGGUGGUGGUAACUACACAACUUCAUCUUGAAUAUGUGUUAUGCAAAUCAAUAUCAUACUUUGAAUGAAAUGGGCAUGAGUUCUAGCAUUUGGAACUAAAUGAUGAAACGCCUUCUAAGUAGUAACCAAGCAAAGAAAAAUGAGAUCAUGCAACGACUUUAGAAAACAAUAAUGCACAGAUUAUCAACUCUCCAAAUAAUGUUUAGGCUCAAGUCUCACAAGGUUGUAGCGUUUGUUUGAGUUCUUUCCUUCAAGCAUGUUACAAAAACUAAUUUUUCCUUUAUGAUUGCAUGUGAAUUCAUAAAUUAUAACCACAACCAAGCAUACACCAAAGAGUAAAUCAAAUGUUCAUCCAUGUUUAUAACUCUCUUUAACAGUCAUGUAAUUAAAAACCAAAUCCUCAUCAUUGUGUUGGAAGGUACCUUAAGACACAAAUAAACAUACAAAAACAACUCUUUUUGGGUUUUUCAAAACAAUUUUUCAAAUUUUUAUGAGAUUUUCGGAUUUUUAUGUCAAAACACACUAAAAUACUCCAAAAUACCUUAAAAACACUUAAAAGAGCAAGGAACAACAUUAGAAGUAAUGGGUGAUAAACUCCUACGAAUUUCAUGCAAAACAAUGGUUACCCCCCCCCCACACUUAAAACAAACAUUGUCCUCAAUGUUUCAAGCAUAAACUCACACAAAAACAAGCAAAUAAACAAAUAAUGAAUAAACAUGACAAGUAUAGCAAAGUAAACAAAAAAAUAGACAGAGUAGAGUUUAAGAACGCAAAUCUGGUUUUGGAGAUAGAUCAUCUUGUUGACUUUCCACAGUUUUCAUCUCAAACUGGUUUGGAAUUCUGAGCGAGGAAUAUCAGAGUUCCUUGGUUUCAAAUCAGACUCCUUCUGCUGGGAUGAUUUGAUUGUGCAGUUUGCAUUCUUCUCUGCUUGUUUCUUCUGCACGGCGGGCAGGCACGAGGUAAAUGUGUUGGUCUGUUUCUUUCUUCAAUCUUUCCAAGUGCCCACCUCUUGCUUUCUUUCUCCUUAUCCCUAGCUGAGGAUGAAUUGGCAAAUUGUCUCCACAUGCUUCGAGGUAUCAUUUUCACUUCCCUUAUGAUGCGGUAGACGAAGCGAAAGCAUAAGAUGAUGAAGAUGAGUACUCGAGAGCAAGGCUAGGUAAGCAAUCAGGAAGGGGUUCCAGGCAGUCGGUUCUAGAUCGAAAGAUUGAUACCAAGUGCUGGCUGAUUACUCACUUUCUCCUUGUCCUAAAACAACGACAAGGAGAAGGACAGGGAGAAAGCAUGAUAUGAGAUACUCUUGCUUUCAACCUUCAUGAUAUGAAAUACUUUUACUUUGGAUGGGUUGUUUGCAGAGGUACCCCAAGGAAUAAGGAACACUGAGUGACUCGAGAGGGUUUGUUGGAAAGGCAUUCUCAGAGAUGACGGAAGGUUAUGUAUGUCUGCCUUGCCAUGGAGGGUGAAGGUUGACAUUUAUAGGAAAUAAUAACCGGUACUGUUCUUUCACUCCUGUCGGCAACCGUUGGAUGAUUGAACAGUAAACUUCACGUGUUUUCUACUUCAACAGAAAUCGUCGACAUAUUGCCUGUGAUUUCCUCAAAGUUGACGAGGCUGAGAAAGACAGAUGGUUGGAAUCGGCGCUUCGACAAACUGCCCGUGAUUUCCGCAAAGCUUUCUCUGCAUGUGACAAGUGCUGACAAGGCUGAGAGAGACAGAUGGUUGGAAUCGGCGCUUCGACAAACUGCCCGUG
rnacentral:lncRNA from 1 species